AUGGACAUCCUGAACGUGGCGGCGAUCCCUUCGAUCAAACCCACUGGGUCCUGCCCGUUACCGUUCUACUGCAACGAUUUCGUCAUCUCGUGGUCGCCGGAGUAGCUACCGAUCCAUCCAUGGUCUCAAUGAGCAAGAUCACGCUCUUCCUAUUAGCCUUGCUCGUCUGCCGGAAGGUUCGCCGGAUGAAUUGGGUGGCCGAAAUCAGGGUAUAUUUGCUGUAUUCGACUCCAAUUUCGUUCGAAAAACUGUGUUAUUCUGGCUGUUCCGGUGGCUUUGUUGAUUACUUGGUAUUCCAAGGCAUUGACGCUCUGCAGGGCUGGCAUUACCUCUGCUACUAUUAGAACUCCUCACUACCAGAGGAAGAAGACAGCUCAAGUUUUCAUCUUUACGUUGACUUGUCAAAAGUGUUCAAAGGUAGAUUCUUUUACAGAGGACACGUGUCGCACCAUAUUUAGUCUAACAUGGUAUCUCCCAAACAGGUAACCCUCACCGGUAACGAGUGUAUAUUUUUCCAUUCUUGUGCUUUUUAGUAAUAAGUGUUAGGGUUUUCGAGUCUCCGUUCGCUUUCUUUGUUGGGUUUUGGAUUUCCUCUAAUCAGUUGCCAGGGGAAUACAAGGUUUUCACUCUGUUCUGUUGAGAAUAAUCGAACUAUUUAAGAGCUCUGCUUUCCUUGAAUCUCUCCUCAGUCGUCACAACUGGCGGAUUCUUUUACGGAACUAGGAAUUAAUCUAUUGAAGAAACUGGGGAAGCAAUUCAAUCGCAAGGUUGAGGAGAUUAUGUUUAUUCUGGUCAAUCACAGCCUAUUUGGGAGAGCUUCUGGUGCAGAUUUGUGAGACCCAGAAGCCAGAAGCCAGAAGCCAGAAGCCGGAAGCUGCCCGAGAGGGGGGGGGGUCUCUAGCUUCUCCAUCUUCUGGCGCUAAAGAUUCAAAUGCCAAUAUCUUGUCGGACAGGUCCUUUAACUUGCAUUAUCUGGAGAAGCUGAAUCUGAAUAGUGGUGAAGCUCCUGUAAACAUGCACUAAAACCUUCUCUGGAUUUUGGUCCUGAAGUGGGGAGGGGAAAAGAAAGAAAAUAUGAAUACAGAGACAGAGCUACCACCGAGCUGAUUUUUUAAUACAACUAUCCGUUGAAGGAGUUGCGUGGGCACUGACAUAAUCUUAUAUUGUAGAGUGCUGGGUCACUUGGAGCUCUUGCAGGAUUUGCUAUUGCCAUAUUUUUUUCUUGGAAGUUGUUGAGAACUAAUGGUAGGCUGCAAAGUCAGCAGUAACAAACAGGUUCAGCAUCUACAAGUGGUAAUGGAGCAAAUGAAGAUGUUUCCUCCCAUGAAGUUCACCGACUAGAACAGAAUGUGGAGUACGUAGACUCGAUUGAUGAGUUCCAGUCUCAAACAAUGGUAACAUGUUAUUUGUUGUUUCAAUUUCUGGAUUUAUGUGCUUUGCAUGAAUCAUAUGCUUGAGCCAAAUUUCUGUUGUCCCUUUUUUAGCCGACACAUGUAAAACAGUGAGGAAGAAACUAAAUGGAAGCCGGAAGGUACACCUACUAAUACUUGAAAAAUGUAUAUUUCUUUCUAGGAAUUGGCCCUUUUACAUAUUCUCAUGUAACCAAACAUUUUCCAAUAUUUCAAAGUAAUAGUUUCCUGAGACGA